UCAGCUGAAAUAAUCCUCCCUCAAUCUCAGAUGCACCUGGAUCUGCACGCAAGGUGCAGGGAGUAAUGUGAGUACUCCGACCCAAUGAAUAAUAAAUAUAAAUAAAGGCUGAGAAUAAGAAAUCAUGGUAAAACACAUGGUAAUUUAUAAUUGGCAAUUUCGGGCAAGUGAUAAGAAUGCGAUCAACCAAUGAAAUCGAAAUAUAGAAAUACCACAACAGAUAAAUAGAUAAACGACAAAUGAAUAAGGAAAAUGCAACACAUAGAAUGGCACUCUCUAGUACCCACUGCGGCGUGCAACCCGAUCUAUUUAUUUAUCGCCGACGGCACUCACUGGAGGUGUGCAGACUCCGAGAGGGGUCUCUUACGUCCCAAGCGCAGCAACAAGUCAUCUCAUGGUAUCAACUAGGCCCUCGGCCUCCAUAUAAAUAUAAUACUACUUCGGCGCACAACCCAAUCCCAUACUCAGUUCAGAAGUCAUAUAAGCCCCUCGAGCAAUAACAGAAUAGUAGUUUUCAGUCCAACAUAUCAUUAGAAAUAUCAUUUAAGUUUCAAAUCUAAGUAAAAGUGGUUGAGUUUGUAAAAUAGUAUUAAACAAUAAGACUGAGUUCAAAUAAUAUGUAAAUAUAGUGAGAAAAACGGUAAUAAUAAUCCCCGAAGAGUUUAAAUAGUUGGCACGAAGCCCAAAUAUGACAAUUAACCCAAAUCAUGAUGAUAUCAAAUACACGAUACAAUCAUCACUCGGGAUGGAUCAAAUCACAAUCCGCAAUAGAAAACAACCCAACACUCGUCAUCGAGCGCGUGUCACACUUCAAUAUAGCACUACGAUGUGAAAAUCUGGGGUUUUAAACCCUCAGGACAUCAUAUACAUUCAUUACUCACCUCAAGCCGGCCAAAACUCUAGCUCGCUAUGCCAUUGCCUCUCAAAUCGGCCUCCUUGCACGUCGAAUCUGACGAAAACCACAACGAAUACAUCACAAUAUGCUAAGGGAACAAAACCCAAUCGAAAAAUAUAAAAAAUCCCAAAAUUAGCAAAAUUCGAGCCCCGGGCCUACUUCUUGAGACUCAAAAAUUCUCACAUCAACGGAUUCCUAAUCUUGCCACGAGUUCACACAUAUCAAAAUCACAAGAAUCGGAGUUCAAUUGCCCUUUUGAGUCCUUAAUUUAUGCUCUCUUAAGUUCAUGACUUGAACCACCAUUUUUGUUCAUAAAUUCCUUAAAUUUUCAGUCAUAAUUCAUGAAAUAAAGUCAUAGAAUCGUGUUUUAGGUCCAAAAUCCUUACCUUAUCGAAGCUCUUUGAAAUCCCUCUUCAAAAUCGCCCACAAUUUUCCAAGUCCGAAGUUAGAAAUGAGAAACCCUUCAAAAUAAGCGAGGAUGAACAUAA
rnacentral:lncRNA from 1 species